GAAUUACACAAUGUAGAAGAUACCAACCUUUCUAUUCUCCUCGAUCUCCUGGGAUAACACCGUUUUCUUUUAAAUGUAACAUUGAAACAGGUUGUGGCAAGAAAGAACCAGGUUGCGGUCCCUCCUACCUGCAUGGUAGACCAUCCAGGACUAGAGCCCAAUUGCUUCCACAUAUACACCCUGCAGAACAUCAGCAACAUAGUCAGAGCUGACUAUGGACGUAUUCUUAGGCGUCGAACAGCCGAAGAGCGUAACUGGCAUCUCUCCUAUCGGAGCUUUGUCAGCUGGUGCUGGGGCUAUUUAGACCGGUAUGCCAGGGUUGUCAUCCCGUCGUGUGUGGUAGUCCGGAUACGCCAGGAGUUUCCUGAUCCAACUGGUCGGUGCGUUGGCUUUCGGCCACACCUUGGCUGAAGCGGGAGACAUGGCGGGCAAUCACCUCAUCCUUUGAAGGUCUCUCAUAUUGGGAUGACUGGUCUUUGGGGAUGGGGAUUUCCUUUAAACCUUCAACAAAUGGAGUUGGGUCCUCUAGCACCUCAUCAAACACAAGCCUCAUCAGGUCAUCCUCAUAAUCUGUGAAAUAUAACAUUCAAAUAAAUCAUGUUCUUGCAUUUCCUU